UACGUAGGGGGCAAGCGUUGUCCGGAAUCAUUGGGCGUAAAGCGCGUGUAGGCGGCCCGGUAAGUCCGCUGUGAAAGUCGGGGGGCUCAACCCUCGAAUGCCGGUGGAUACUGUCGGGCUAGAGUACGGAAGAGGCGAGUGGAAUUCCUGGUGUAGCGGGUGAAAUGCGCAGAUAUCAAGGAGGAACACCAAUUGCGAAGGCAGCUCGCUGGGACGUUACUGACGCUGAAGCGCGAAAGCUAGGGGAGCGAACGGG
rnacentral:rRNA from 1 species